rnacentral:snRNA from 1 species
GCGAACCGGGAAGAGCCCAG